GAUGAACGCUGGCGGCGUGCCUAACACAUGCAAGCCGAGCGAUUCUCUUCGGAGAAGAGCGGCGGACGGGUGAGUAACGCGUGGGUAACCUGCCCUGUACACACGGAUAACAUACCGAAAGGUAUGCUAAUACGGGAUAACAUAAGAAAUUCGCAUGUUUUUCUUAUCAAAGCUCCGGCGGUACAGGAUGGACCCGCGUCUGAUUAGCUAGUUGGUGAGGUAAUGGCUCACCAAGGCGACGAUCAGUAGCCGACCUGAGAGGGUGGUCGGCCACAUUGGAACUGAGACACGGUCCAAACUCCUACGGGAGGCAGCAGUGGGGAGUAUUGCACAAUGGGCGAAAGCCUGAUGCAGCAACGCCGCGUGAGCGAUGAAGGCCUUCGGGUCGUAAAGCUCUGUCCUCAAGGAUGAUAAUGACGGUACUUGAGGAGGAAGCCCCGGCUAACUACGUGCCAGCCGCCGCAGUAA
rnacentral:rRNA from 1 species